AGCUGACUAUUGGGGGGGAAGGAUCUCUUUUGGCAAUUGCUUCUCUUGGAGUCUUAGUGAGCCUGGGACAAGGGAUGUACAGAAAUCUAAAGAAUAAGGGAAGACUGAAGGUCUAAAACAGCCUUAAAGGAACAGCUGUGGGAGAAAACAAGGAGAAGCUGAGGCAUCAUGUUGAAAUGGAGCAAAGGGAACUAAUUUGAGCUAUCCAAUUGUACAACACUUCUGAACUGCAGUUUCUGAAGCCUACAGUAAUUUAACACGUGUCAUGGAGCACUUAGAGAUGUAAUAAAAAUCCUGUUUAUUACCAGUGCA